rnacentral:rRNA from 1 species
UUUUUGGAGAGUUUGAUCCUGGCUCAGGAUGAACGCUGGCGGCGUGCCUAAUACAUGCAAGUCGAGCGGUAAGGCUCUGCACUUAGCAUUUAAUCGUGAGUAGCUUGCUACUUAAUCUGUAUCGGCGUCGACCCUAGGCUAGGGAACACAAUGAGAAGGGGAGAUUGAAUGAUAAGUGUAGAGUACACGAGCGGCGGACGGCUGAGUAACACGUAGGAACGUACCCCAAACUGAG